GCGGCAAAAGCUCAAAUUUAGAAAUCUGGUACCUUCGGUGCCCGAGUUGUAAUUUGUAGAAGGCGACUCUGGGGCUGGUCCUUGUCUAUGUUCCUUGGAACAGGACGUCAUGGAGGGUGAGAAUCCCGUAUGGCGAGGAUCCCAGUUCUUUGUAGAGUGCCUUCAAAAAGUCUAGUUGUUUGGGAAUGCACCUCUAAGUGGGUGGUAAAUUCCAUCUAAAGCUAAAUAUUGGCGAGAGACCGAUAGCGAACAAUUACAGUGAUGGAAAGAUGAAAAGAACUUUGAAAAGAGAGUGAAAAAGUACGUGAAAUUGUUGAAAGGGAAGGGCAUUUGAUCAGACAUGGUGUUUUGCGCCCCUCGCCUCUCGUGGGUGGGGGAAUCUCGCAGUUCACUGGGCCAGCAUCAGGUUUUGGCGGCAGGAUAAAUCCCUGGGAAUGUAGAUCUACCACUUCGUGGUGACACGAACUUAUAGGCCAGGUGCAAUACUGUCCAUUUGGGAACUGAUGAAUGCUUAAUUAUAGCUCAAGCGAAGGUGGACAUAGUGUGGUAUAUC
rnacentral:rRNA from 1 species